UAAGAAACAUUUACCUCUAAUAAAGACUUCAAGUUCAAUGUUUUGAAUGAAAUUUACUGACAACAAAGAUCAACUUCUUGUACUCUCUUCAUUUCCAUGCUCUUUGAAUGCAAAUGCUUUCAUCAAUCAUAGCACCACAUAUUGAAAGUUUGGGCUCAGCGGGCUUUGGCUUAGCGAUCAUCUACAAGAUGACACAAACUCCAAACAUGAAAUGACA
rnacentral:lncRNA from 1 species